AAGACAUAGUGAGGGCCUUUUAUAAGUAAUUUCAUAAAUCUCUCCCAUCUUUUAUAAAUUGAUUCUCCUUUGAACCGGACAAACAAAGUGAUGUCAUUUCUAAGUUU